rnacentral:lncRNA from 1 species
ACUGGUUUAGAGAAAUAAAGAAAUAGCUAAGAGAAAAAUGAAACUGAAAAGGAGAACUAAAUUGACUUGCAACAAAAAAUGAAGCAACUGUCCGUCGGCAACUAACCCUUCUAUUUUUAUUUUUUCGAUGUAUUUUCAAAUCAAAGUUUCAGUAGUUACUUCCAUCGAUAGACAAAAAAUGUCGAGCAAAGACCUGGCAACAACCAUGCAAUGAGAUAGUCUGAAGAGACUCCGAAAAAGUUAGAGAAAAUACGUACUUGUUUCACUGUUGAUAGAAUAACCUAACUGUUGCUUCUAGAAUUUGAGAAAAGUGAACAAACGACAGAGCUAGUAUUAUAUAAUUGAGCUAAAUGACUGAUAGAACUUAUGUCAAUGCUCUAUACAAUUUCUGUAGAUUUUUUGUCAACUCUUAGAACUCCACGUCUCCUAUAGUUAUGAUAAGGAAGAGACAUCUUAUAUUAACAUCAUGUCUUUUUUGUACAACUAUAUAAGCAAGCAAAUAGAACUGAUGUCAACUCUCUAUAGAAUUUUGCUAGAUUUUUUCCCAACUCCUCACCCCGGCCCUCCUCUUCUACAACUAUGAUUUAAAAAAGAAUUGCAAUGUAAAUCUUCAAUCCCCAACUCCACACCUCCGAACCUCCUCUUCAAUAACUGUGAUUUAAAAAAGAAUUGCAAUGUAAAUCUUCAAAUGCUCGCAGUCCACUAAAAAUUAUAUGCAAGUAUGAGAUUACAUUUACAAGUAACUUACCUUCCCUGGGAACUAAGCCAAAUUUUCGUACUUAGGAAAUGAACUCUUUGUCUACACUUCUAAAAUAGUACACGUACACACCACAAUUGAAAAUUAUCUUCCCAAAUUAAGACGGCAGAGGCAACCAUUGAUUGUUAUUGUUUAUUUGAAAGAACAUGAAGCCAUAUGUAAAUUAUUGUUUUUUUUUGCAUAUGCUUUUUGCCAGAAAUCAUUCGCAAGGCAGCCAAGAUCAAAUAGCAUAGAUUACAAUCACACAAAUCAUUAUUUUCCAAAAUUGAAGAACAAAUAAAGAGUGAGAGAAGAGAAAGGGAGAGGGACUUACCGGUACAAGAGAACAGAGGAAUGAGAAGUGAACUCGGUUGGUGCCUAUUUAUUUGUGUCAAACACCUAGAGUAAUUCUAGAAAAAUCACAUUAGUUGUGGUUUCUAGAAAAAUCAGGUGAUUUGUGGAGGAAAUAUACCACAAAGUUGAUGGAAUUUUAAAAAUAAAAUAGAUAUGAAAUACCAAAGUUGCCCUCAAUGUACUGUUCAUCCUUUUAGCAGAAUUAGAUAUUGCUCUGCAUAAUUUAAAUCACAUCACAUCCAAAUAAACAUCAAACCCUAGAUUAUCACUGACAUUAAACUAUUUUUUUUUAAAAAAAAAUAGAUAUGAAAUACCAAAAUUGCCCUCAAUGUACUGUUCAUCCUUUUAGCAGAAUGAGAUAUUGCUCUGCAUAAUUUAAAUCACAUCACAUCCAAAUAAACAUCAAACCCUAGAUUAUCACUGACAUUAAACUAUUGUUCUUAAAUGGAGCAUCACAAGACUCCUUUAAAAAAACAACAAAUCAAAACCCAUAGUAUAUGCUGAAAAAUCGCUAGUUAUAACAAUAUCUCGAAAUAUAACCUGAAGAUCUUAAAUUUCUCAUAACCGAGAAUCAGGAAGCACAUAUAUUGUAUUGAUAGCAACAAUCGAAAAGGAAAAAAAAAGUAUCCACCCUUCUUACUUGAAACCCUUUGCA